rnacentral:rRNA from 1 species
CCCUUAGAUGUUCUGGGCCGCACGCGUGCUACACUGAGUGGAUCAGCGGGUCAGGUUGCGCGAAAGUGUUUCCUAAUCUUUAAAUCCGCUCGUGAUGGGGAUUGACGGUUGCAAUUUUCCGUCAUGAACGAGGAAUACCUUGUAAGCGCGGGUCAUCAUCCCGCGCUGAAUACGUCCCUGCCCUUUGUACACACCGCCCUUCGCUCCUACCGAUUGAGUGGUCCGGUGAGGCUUUGGGAUCUGGGCGGAAAGAGCGUUUCGCUGUUUCUGCCCGGAAAACUCAGUCGAACCUUAUCAUUUAGAGGAAGGAGAAGUCGUAACA